rnacentral:lncRNA from 1 species
AUUAAGUGUCCUGACUGGGAAAUGCUGCCCAUUUUUACCUAUACUUCUUUUUGGAAAUGUUAUCUGUUUGGCAUAGAAUAGAAAAGAAAUAGUGAGAUUAUGCUGCCAUAAGGAGUAACAGGAGAGAUUUCUUGAACCAUGUUAUUUAAACUUCAGUCUAAUUCCUCAAGAAACUGUCCCUGGAAAAUUGUUUCUUCAGAGAAUUAAGGAAAGUAAUUUGCUUUGGAAGUUAUAAGUCCCAAACCCCAGAGGACCAGCAUAGCAAACCACGUCUCUAAAAGCAAAGGACAUAAUUUCUGUCACUUUUCAAAUCAUCUUUAUCUUAUAUAUACAAAUACUGAGCACCCUCCCUCACAUUUCUAAUUCAUUUCAUGUGGGUUUUUCCAAUUACAAAAGGACAGCUCUCUGAUUUAUGUACUGAUGACUUCCAGCUAACUUUCCUCGCUGUAUUUCAUUUAGAGAGCCUGCUGUCUACACAUGAUAAUGUUUAUGUAGUGGAUGACACGGUUCUGGAGCUAUCGGAGGUGGAAGAAACGGCAUCAGAAAGCAGCUGCUUUGCAUCAGAGGACACCACGGAGGACUCGGGUGUUGUGAGCUCCCCGUCUGACAUUGUGUCUCUGGAGUCACAAAGUGACAGUAUGAAGCUGAGAGACAUCAGGCUGGUCAAUGGCUACACGGACCCAGCUGAGGCAGAUGCAGUUCGGACGGGCCCUGUGCCGAACGCUUACUGCGACAGCGUGGGACCUGACCGUGCUCCGCCGAGCAGGCAAGAUGAAGCAACAGCUUUGGCUAAGCAUGAGAAUGUACACACAUUCAUUACAGCACGGCUCCAGCAGACUUUGGCUGACCUGGAUGAAGAUUUAGAAGGUAGGAAAGUGUGUGCUACCUCUGAAGUGCAAAAUACAAGAGACACAGCCAGUGGAUGCAGAAUCAAGCUGUACUCUUGAGACAUCCUGUAUGUUUCUCACUGAGAUCACGGGGCACAACUCAUGAGUGUGAGGUAGAAUGUGGUCCUCCCAAAGUGGCUCCUUUGCUUUAGGAGCAGACACCCUUUAUAGGCUCCCACUGAAUAUUUUUCAAGCUGCAUGUCAGAUUGUUCUUGUGUUUCAAUGUCUUCUACCAAAAAGAGAUGAACAGCAGUCAAUGGACACAUUUUAUAGGCCAAAUUUAGUAUAAUUUCACUGACUUCAGUGAAGCUACAUCAGUUGUGAAUUUAGCUCUGUGUUUAAUGAAGAAUCCCUUUGUGUUUAUUUUAUUAUAAUGAAGUGGAAAAGGAUGGAGCAUUUUUGUACUCAUUGUCUCCUCUGUGGUAACAGGUGCAUUUAAAAGUUAAAAAUGGAAAACAUGAUACAGUGGGAAGAGAUAAAAUACCAUAUUGAGCUCCUCUUUUUCCUACUGUGAAAAAAAAACAACUUCUCUAUUAUUGGUUUGUCAACAAAUGACAUUGAUUUUUUUUUAACUUCCCAUCUUCAUUUUCAUACUUCUGCAAUGGAAUCGAGUGUGAUUUGAUUUCUUGUGAGUUCUAAGACACAGCCAUUCCUUAGCUUGUGUUGUAACCUUUGAUUUAUACCAGCAAAUUUGAGAGGAUAUGUAGCCCUCUUGCACAAUGAGGCUUCUGGAGUCACUGGUAAUAAAGGGUGAGAAGAAUGGAGAAAAAAUAAAAGUAC